rnacentral:lncRNA from 1 species
GCCAAUCAGAAGCAGAAGUCAUUCAAAUUUGCAGCUUGGCAAAUGCUGGUUUUGCUUUCAAUUUUAAUUUCAUUUCCUGCGCGCGCUUUUCGAGCCGAAGCCAGGGAGGGGGUUGUAUUAAUCCGAGCUGUGGGGCUCUUUGCUUUUUGGACAAUGGCAACUGGGAAUCUCAUAAAACAAUAUUUCUGA